rnacentral:lncRNA from 1 species
UUCACAUUUUAGUUCUUGUCAACACUUUUCAAUAUUUUUCUAACAUUCAUCAUUCCAUCUUAUAAAAGUCCAUUUCUUGAUCUCAAAUCUUCUUUACAUCCUAUCAUUCAGUUCAUCUCCAUUACUUUUUAUUACUAGACUUGCAACUGAUAGCUACAUAAAUUAUAGCCAGACAAUCACGCGUGGACUUGUUGUCUCGCCACCGUUACGUCAGCAAGUCUAUAUAAGCGUGCGUUGCGCCUAAAUCGAGGUCUUCUUCCACCCCUCAGACCCGCGGAACGUACAGCCUCUCUCAGCGUUUUUCGAUCAAAGGUCCUCUCUCAUCUCUCAGUUUCAAGUGACCAUUUUAGUUACUUCUCAUCAAGUGUUUUUCAUCCUCAACACUAACUUAAAAGUGUAUCGUUGUGUGCAAUCUCGUCGACUUUCCAUCUGCUCUUGUUCUUCGUAUUUUGCGGAUUAAUACAGUGAUGAACUUUAUCACUAAAUUUCGUGUCUUUAAUUCUCACUUAAUUUCUCGUAGUUUAUGGAUCCUACGUUAACAAAGAUCAGCUGGUGCCGAAACGGUUUUUAUUUUUGAACUUUAUCUCUAUCACAUCACUCAUGAGAAUAAGAUUAGUUUUCUACUGACUCUUAUUCAUUACAUAGUGCCGACAAUCAACUCUUAUUCAUUACAUGGGCGGUGGAAAUGUCAUUGCUGGCGAUACCCAUGAUUAAAUUUGAAAUAAAACUUUAGAAAUGUGGACAUUUAAAACUUAAAACUAAGGAGGCACAGAUGUGAAGUUGGAGAAGUAUAAGAAUAAAAUGGCUGGAUGAACUGAGCAGGAAGCGUAAAAGGGCGGAAGUUCUGUAAGAGAACGGAUGUGGUGAUUACAAGUGGUGAUACAAUGUGGUGAACGGUGAUUACAAGGAAGAUUAUUCAGAAGAAUGAGUAGGUACUAAGAAAUACAGGAUGGCGCUACGUAUUUUUUUUUUUUUUUUUUUUUUUUUUUUUUUUUUUUUUUUUUUUUUUUUUUUUUUUUUUUUUUUUUUGUUGUUUUAAACGGAAGUGAAAA